GUAUAUUGAAGGAACCAGGUAUAGAGAAAAAGAGGCAAUCCAAAGUUCAGUUUUGGACAUGUUAAGUUUGAGAUGCAGUGCGUUAGAGGUCUACGUAGAGAUGUUGAUUAGGCAACAGUCUAAUGUGCAGAGAAGAGGUCAUACUGAAGAUAAAUUUCAAGUCAUUAGUAUAGAUGGAUGAGAUCACCUAGAGAACAAGUAUAGAUUAAAAGAAGAAGUUCAAGAACCAAACCCUAGAGCACUCCAGCUUUUAAAAGUUACGAAGAGGAUUCAGUAGUGGAAAGUGAAAAGGAGCAGCCAGAGGUGUUGGAAGAAAAUAAUGAAGAGUGUGGUUUUCUGGAAAUCAGUGAAGAAAGUGUUUCAAGCAGGAGUGAGUGAUAAUUAUACCUUCUGGGAGGCUGAGUAACAUGAGGUCUGAGAACUGGCUAUGAGAUUUGGCAAUAUGAAGUCCACUGGUGAGCGGGACAAGAGUGGCUUCAGUGGAGCAGAUCCUGAUUUUGUUGGGAGCAGGUUGCCCAGCUUCUGUUCCAACUACACUACUGGUGUACAUGUAACUAAAUUCUGAAUGUUGACAGGAUGGCUGGAAUUCUAGCAAACAUCUUAGGAAAAUAAAGUGACCUAAAGCUAAGGACGGAAGAAGAUAGAGUCUAGGUUCCUGAUGACAUCAUGGAACUGCCAUACAAGCCCGGGAUUGCCUGCUUUUGGACUUCACAUUAUGGGAGAAAAUAAAAUAAUUUGUUUAAGCCACA